rnacentral:rRNA from 1 species
GAUGAACGCUGGCGGCGUGCCUAAUACAUGCAAGUCGAGCGAACAGACGAGGAGCUUGCCCCUCUGACGUUAGCGGCGGACGGGGGAGUAACACGUGGAUAACCUACCUAUAAGACUGGGAUAACUUCGGGAAACCGGAGCUAAUACCGGAUAAUAUAUUGAACCGCAUGGUUCAAUAGUGAAAGACGGUUUUGCUGUCACUUAUAGAUGGAUCCGCGCCGCAUUAGCUAGUUGGUAAGGUAACGGCUUACCAAGGCAACGAUGCGUAGCCGACCUGAGAGGGUGAUCGGCCACACUGGAACUGAGACACGGUCCAGACUCCUACGGGAGGCAGCAGUAGGGAAUCUUCCGCAAUGGGCGAAAGCCUGACGGAGCAACGCCGCGUGAGUGAUGAAGGUCUUCGGAUCGUAAAACUCUGUUAUUAGGGAAGAACAAAUGUGUAAGUAACUAUGCACGUCUUGACGGUACCUAAUCAGAAAGCCACGGCUAACUACGUG